rnacentral:lncRNA from 1 species
UCGUGCCCUAGGCACGAUCGUGGAGGAAGCCUUGCAGGGGGGAGGCGGCGGCGUGAGGGGAGGCCGGUCAUCGGGGGAGGCGACUCGCCGGAGGAGACCAAACACCGGAGUGGAGACGGAGCGCCGAGAUCCGGCCGGCCGUGGGGGAAAACUCUAAAGCCUUUCCUUCGGAGAAGACCCUCCACAGAUCGGUGAUUUGUUCACGGAUUCUUCCAUCCAUCUCUUGCCGGAAAGGUCGCCGGAGCACGUCGUCGGACCGAGGUAAGUGGGGCUCCCUUCCUUAUGCUUCAUUUUCUGGACUUAGGGCGGUGAUGAUGGGGAUUUGGCCGGUGAGAUCGUCGGAGAAGGAUCCGAAACAGGGGUACCCUGUUUCGGCUUCUCUUUUCGGAUCUUGCCGCCGGCCGUCGGCCGCCGGGAUUGGCCGAGGUCCAUGGCAGUGGGGUGGUCGGGAUAGAGGAGAUUUGGAGUAGGGUUCUAGGGCUUUGAUUGGAGAUGGGGGAUGGCGGAUCCGAGGCCUUCCUCCUCGUGAUCCCGUCCCUUCCUCCUCUCCCUCCGCGUGGGUUGGCCACCGGCGGCGACGACAGCGGUCGGGGGGAAGGCAGCUUGGGUUGCCGUCGGGUGUGGGGGGAGAGA